GUUGCCAUCUAAAUUUGGUGGCUUUUUGAAGCAUAAUUUCUAUGAGAAGUUGUCAUGUUGCAGUGAUAAUGAAUGCUACAAAGACUUUAAAGUUCUUAUUCGGAACAAUGAUAAAUAUACAACUCUUAUAGGACUUGAUUGGGAUCAUUUUUGUCAAUCUAAUGAUUUUGGUCAUUUCUUAGUACUGGUAUAUAAUCAAGUCUUGUGCAGGCUCUCUUUAUUAUCUUCCCUUUUCUAAAAAUGAAGAGUACACACGUUGCUGGGACCAUUAAGAAAAAGAAAAGGAAUGUGGUGAUUGAACUGAUCAAAGAUAUGCCCGCUUGGACGGGACGCCAUUUGCUGGAUGGUGGUGAGAAUCGUCGCUACUUUGGAUUGGAAAGCCAACCUUUGAUCAGAGGGCAGAUGAGGUAACACAUAGGUAGCGGUCAUAUUGGAGUGACUAUGUAAGCAAAAUUUUAUCACUUGCUAGAGCAUAGAGCUAAGGAAUGGUAAUUGAUUUGAUCAAUACUUAUACUAUGAAUUUGUGCUCUUUUAGAUUUCAUGUUCUUACUUCUAUUUCUCCUUGACAGCCAAUAUUUUGUCAUUCCUUUGCGGAGGGGAAGUGAUUAUUUGACAAUGUUUGUUCAAGGUUUGAUAAAAAUUACCUUCUCAUAUCAUUUUAUUUGAACAAAUUUUGUAAAAUCCGUGCUACUUAUGAAAUCUUUGAAUUCAUCUUUGGAAACUUAUGUGUCAAAUUCGUGUAGAUUUGUUAUAUUGAAUGUUUGUUAAAAGUGUCUGUCGUGCACUUUCUCUUAUGCUUCUGCAUGUUAAUGCACAAUUUAUAGUUUGUUCCCCUGUAUUUUUGUUGGUUUUAAGGGUUGUGUUAAUUGAUGUUUUGUUGUGCACGUGAGUCUGGUUUGCAGAGGUCACGAGAUAUCCUAUGAGAGCCAGGGGAAAGACUACAUCAAUCAUUAAUCUGUUGCAUACACACAUGUUUGUUGUUUUUGCACAUCUGUGAUUCUUUAUCUAUGAUAAGUAAUUAUGCCACAGUUCAAAUAUAAGUGUUUUGCCGGAAAUUGUGAAUUGUUGCUCUUGAGACUUUGAUAAGGAAACUUGCCAAAGCUGGAAAUCACGCCGAGGUUUUGCCAGAGAAUCUUCCUGGGAAAGUAAGGUAAGAAAAAAUAACAUGUUUGAGAGAAUGUCUAUUUGGACACUUUACAAUAUAGUACUCUUUUUCUCAACACUUUUUUUUGUAUCUAAAAUUUCUUUUUCAUUUACCAAGGAAAAUGAAAGUUGUGUUUAUUCUUCAGUUAAAUAUAAGAUAAAUGUUGCUUGAUGCAGGGGACAUGAUAUGUUUGCAGCAACCAGGUUUAUCUUUAUUCUUAAUAUUAUGUCAUUAAGUUAUGGGAGUAGAGAACUGUAGUUGAUAAAUUUAGUGUUGAAUUAAACCGCUUUUUGUUUAGAUAGAUGUAAUGUUUCUUUAGUUUCUUUUUGACUUUUUUCUUAAUCAGAUGAAUUUUGUUUUUAAUUUGUUUUGUUACAUAAAUUGCUGCAAGUUUUUUCCUCUGGUUAUCAAUGUCAGUUUUCACCCAUGGUUUAUAAGAUAUGUCAUUUAUCUUUCAUGUUUUAAUUUGUUAAUUUAUUUCAGAUUGGUAUUCAUUCAAUAAAAACUGAAGGACGUGUGCAAGCGAAAAAGUUUGGCGUUGAGCAAUAUGAAAUGCGAACGUUUUCCAGAGAUCGCCACUUCCUAGAGAACCUGGUUUUGUAUUGGCAUUUGUUGUUAGACCUGGUACAAGUCCUUCUGAUAGUCAUGCCUACACACUGGAUCAUCACAUGCACACAUGAGCCAUGAUAAACAGAUUGCAUUAAAGUCUGGAUAUUUGAAGAUUCUUAUUAGAAGAAUUUUAAAUUCUGCUAGCCAGAAGAUUACCGUAUCUUCUGCAAAGACCUGAGCAUUGCUGGCUUAAAUUUACCACUGUCAAAAGAUAAAUAGACAUGUUUCGAUUCAGGAAACAAUCUGAACACAUUACUACAUUAGGUCACAUGUGCUUGGUGCAAUCUAUUAUGAGCUGCAAAUUCCUCUAGGGUUCUUGGUUUGAUAGGCUGUUGCAAUUGUAGAAGUAAGACUGAGACUUGUGUGCGGCCUAAUGGCAUCGCCAAAAUUGUAAAC